rnacentral:rRNA from 1 species
AAUGAACGUUGGCGGCGUGGAUUAGGCAUGCAAGUCGUACGAGAAUCGUAGCAAUACGAGGAAAGUGGCGGAAGGGAGAGGAUUACGUGGGAAUCUACCCUCAGAACUGGGAUAGCGGCGGGAAACUGCCGGUAAUACCAGAUAAUGUCUGUGGACCAAAGGUGUGAUUCCGUCUGGGGAUGAGCCCACGUCCUAUUAGCUAGUUGGCAGGGUAAUGGCCUACCAAGGCGAUGAUGGGUAGCGGGUGUGAGAGCAUGACCCGCCUCACUGGGACUGAGACACUGCCCAGACACCUACGGGUGGCUGCAGUCGAGAAUCUUCGGCAAUGGGCGCAAGCCUGACCGAGCGAUGCCGCGUGCGGGAUGAAGGCCUUCGGGUUGUAAACCGCUGUCGAGGGGGAGCAACUUCCAUAGAGUUAUCUUUAUGGAUUGAGUGAUCCCUGGAGGAAGGACGGGCUAAGUUCGUGCCAGCCGCCGCAGUAA